UUCAGUCACUUUGUAUUAUGCACAGGAAAUUGAUACUUUUUUCAGAAAGCGGUAUCAAUUUCUUGUGUGUAAUACAAAAUGACUGAA